rnacentral:tRNA from 2 species
GCGGAUGUGGCGGAAUUGGUAGACGCGCUAGAUUUAGGUUCUAGUGUCUUGGCGACGUGAAGGUUCAAGUCCUUUCAUCCGCA